rnacentral:lncRNA from 1 species
GACCAGAUAGUUUGCAUAAUCGGCAAACCAAGGCACUCCGUUGAAAGCGAGGAUCUGUUCAUCGACGAACUCGUCCUUUAUUGGACGCUUGUCUUCUGUCUCUUCGAUAGGUGAUAUACGGGAGAGGUGAUCGGCAACAGUGUUCUCACAUCCUUUCUUGUCACGAAUCUCCACAUCAAACUCUUGAAGGAGUAAGAUCCAC